GAUGAACGCUGGCGGCGUGCCUAAUACAUGCAAGUCGAGCGAACGGACGAGAAGCUUGCUUCUCUGAUGUUAGCGGCGGACGGGUGAGUAACACGUGGAUAACCUACCUAUAAGACUGGGAUAACUUCGGGAAACCGGAGCUAAUAACGGAUAAUAUUUUGAACCGAAUGGUUCAAAAGUGAAAGACGGUCUUGCUGUCACUUAUAGAUGGAUCCGCGCUGCAUUAGCUAGUUGGUAAGGUAACGGCUUACCAAGGCAACGAUGCAUAGCCGACCUGAGAGGGUGAUCGGCCACACUGGAACUGAGACACGGUCCAGACUCCUACGGGAGGCAGCAGUAGGGAAUCUUCCGCAAUGGGCGAAAGCCUGACGGAGCAACGCCGCGUGAGUGAUGAAGGUCUUCGGAUCGUAAAACUCUGUUAUUAGGGAAGAACAUAUGUGUAAGUAACUGUGCACAUCUUGACGGUACCUAAUCAGAAAGCCACGGCUAACUACGUG
rnacentral:rRNA from 1 species